rnacentral:lncRNA from 1 species
UGUGUGUGACGCCACGUGUCAUGUGUGUGACACCAUGUGUCAUGUGACUAACCUCACGUGUUGGGAGAGACGCACACAAUCUUCUACAGGCAUGGUAGUUUGGGAACUGGGUGUAGUGAUAAGUCUGUCGCUUGAUUUUUUCUUCUUCUUCUUUGUUUAUCGGAAAUGAUAAUUCAAGACACUUUUUCUCAACCAUCAACGUGCUGAUGUUAAAAAUGCCUUGUGCAUUUAUUUCGCUUUGGCCAAAUCUUUUUGAGAUUCUAUGUGGCUUGAGGAUUACACUUACAGAUGUAAAAGUUUUGUUUUGAUAACUGGUUUAAGUAUCAAAAGAAAACUUAAGAAUGAGAUGUUUAACAGCAUAGUUAAAUAUCCCCCUGUAGAGAUGCUCAUAAAAGGCUUUUCAUCAUUCUGCCCCUCCCCCACCAGCCACUCAUUAUUUUUUUUCCUUCAGCCUACUUUUGGUGCUCAUUAGUGGCCUCUGCUUCUUGAGUAGAUGUAGUUGAGCCCUCAUGUCUUCUGGGGAAAGUUUUUUUGACUUCUCUGGAAGAUAUGCUUUUUUAAAUUACUGUAAGCAGCAAGCGUAUUUGAGAUUGCUUGUAUAGUAUAUCUUACACCCAUAGAUUAUUUAGAAGUGCUUUUGAUUCGUGAGAAUUAGUUUGCAUAUUUUGUCUUCUUUGAUGCAUACAUCAUCCAUUAUUGAUCUUGUUUUGAUUGGUGCGUCAUUGCCGCCUAAACAUGCAUUCCCUUAUUAAUGACUGUGGUCAGACAUGAUAUUUGCAUACUGGUUGAGCCCUACACUAACAGGAAUAUGAAUGAAGCCCAGCCCCUAGCACUCAUCAGAGUGAUGUAAGCAAGCGUAGUUGGUUUUUGGGGGGACAUGCUGUGAUUAUGCAUGCACUGAACUACCUCAUUUUGUAUUUAUUCUUAACGAUUUACCAGCCCCCAGGACUAAAAUUUCAUAUGCUGUCUAAUACGCCAAAGAUAUCAUGAUAUUGCAUAUGACACGGAACGACGAAAGGAAUGACUUUAUUUAGCAGUGAGAGGUCUGACGUUAUUUUGCCCUUUUAUGUCCACCGUCUGCUCAAAAAGACCGGAGAUCUCCCAAGCAGGCACUACUUGGCAGUUGUCCGGACUGCCUUAGACAUUGUCCAACAGAUGGGAAGGGGGCUGUACUCAACAGUCAGAGAUAAUUGGGAUUGUUAUCUUUACAGUGUAGAAUAUUACUAAGUCUCACGUCGCAAAAUUUGUUUUAUCCACUACAUUUUAUGUUUCUUUGAAAUUUUGAGAUAUAUGUAGCAGAGCAUUUCUGUAAUUUGAAGACAAAACUGAGAUACUACAAGUGGGUCAAGGUGAGGGAAAGAUGAUUUGACAAAAAUGGGAAAAUUGUUAGAUUUUUUAUGCCAAUGUCUUGGCACAUUGGGCUAGUCAAUUAUACUCUGUAGUUUGCCGAUUUUGUUUUUUAACUUCUUUCAAAUCCUUUUACAUAGGGGCUUUUGAAAGACACCACAAGGUUAUUUGUGUAGGGGAUGGAGAGAUAAAAUGGAUGAAAGUUUCAUGUAGAAGAUAUUCAUAUAAUGUACUUGCCUUGUUCAAAAUGGCUUGAGGAUAAAAAUAAUUUUGACUAGGUAAGGUAUCCAUCAAUUUUGGUAGCAUUUGAAAGCUUAUCAAGGAGGUGGUUGCUAGCGUUAACGUAGAGUUUUUAAAACAUUGUCUUUCUUAUACUUUAGAGAAUUCAGUCUUGUUUAUAUUCAUUUUAAAAAAUACAAAGAAUCAGAGUUCGUUUAUCAUUUUUACCUGUGUAUAGAACUCGUUGAAACUUUUUUUAGGUUGUGGCAAGCUGCCAAAUACAUGCUUCUCACCAAUUUUAUCUUUGCAUUCGUUUUGUGUGUGUGUGUUUGUGUGUGCGUGUGUUGCAUUGCCCGGGAGUAGGAGGUUAGUAUUAGUCAGUAAGUGUUACUAGUUUUUGUCACCUUGUACCCGGAAGAAAAGGACGUUGAAAAGCCAACAAGUUUUCUAGCCUUUUCUAACAUGCUUUGGUGAAGGCAGAAUGUGCGGCGGGCUUCAAAAUAUGGUAGUUGUGGUUCGAAACUCAAGAUUAACAGUCUAUUGCCAUGUUGAUGGAGAUUUGAAAUAUUCUAGCAUUAAUUUUGUCUUUCAGAAUUGAAGCAAAGGUUGGAAUGUGAAAUCUGUAAAUGUUCAGUAAUUAGUCAAGAGAGUCAUAACAAGCGAUGUACGCCUAUCCACUUUUAUUAUAUAAUUAUAUAAUGAUGGUGUAAAUUUUAUAUGUUAUCCAAGUAAAUACAGCUCUUUUCCUCUGUCAGAGUAAUAUUAUUUUAAAAAAACAACUGCGAAUCAAGCUGGACGGAAAUGAAAUCCGCUCUGCUGUAGGAAUCUUUGUUUAGCGUAAGAAAGGUUUGUUGAGUAUCCGUACAUCCUGCCUUCACUUGGAUGUGCUUGCUGUGCAUUGUGCACUACGGUCAGGGUCCCCUGUCCUCCGUACUGUAGUAGACAACAGACAUACCUAUCUGUCUGUCCCCUUUUGCUCAUCAGUAACAUUUUGUUUAUUUUUUUGCUUAUCUAACAUUUGUCUGUAUGUAUUGUACAAUUUCUAGCAUUGUGUUUUAAUUUUAAAAUUUUUGUGUCCUAGAUUUUUGUUUUCUUCUGUUUCUGAAGUAAUAAGUAACAGUGGGAGGUACGGUACAUACAUUUUAUAGAGUUUGUUUGUAGGGGGAAACAAAUGCAGUUUAGCAUUAAUAAGGUAAGAGGGUUGGAACAACUGACUGGAAUGUCAUACUUGGGGAAAGCUGAGAACGCAUUGAGUAGAAAAAACAGGUUGCAAAAUCUGCAGUGGUGCGUCUACGGUCAACGGUCAGCCAGACUGAGGGAUAGGUGAAGGUGAAGGAGAUGAAGGAUAGGAUCAUGGUCUGGGCUCUUCUCUAAUGAUUUGAGAAUUUUUGUGAGAAAAGAAUGUUCUGUCAAUGAUUUAGGCAGUCACUAGUGCUGUGUAUUGUAUGACUUUUGAUCAGAAACAGAUUUGCAGACACCCAAAAGGGGGAUGGAAAUCAACUUUAGUUGUAGUAAAAAAAAAGUUUGAUAGGUGAGAUCAAUUUGGGGGGGGAGGGGGGGGGGAAUGGUGAGGGAGAGGGGGAUUUUUGAGUUACAGUACUGUAGUUUUGCAUGCUAUGUGUGUAUGAAUAAUGUGUCUUUUAAUGAUGGGUCAUUUUCAUCACUCACUCCCUCUAUGUGACAGAAUGUUUUUAACAAGAAAAUGUGUUGUGUCAUUAUGGUGAAUGGACCUAUAUUCCCAACAUUCUUCAUAAAGUUACUGUAAAUGUGCUAACAUUGUAUUGUUGCUGUAGUUCUGUAAUCUGCACUUCACUGUGGUGAUGGGGGAAAUUGACUACUUGUGUUUUGGUGGCUUCUUGAUAAUGGAAAGAUACCCUGUAAUGAGCUCUCCUUUUCUUAAGCUUGACUGGGCAGGUGAUUCAUCCGCCAGUGUGUGUGCUCUGUGGCCGCCUGUUACUGACAUGUGGUUGACGGGUGCUCUGGUGUGGUUUGCUCCUUCUUUCCUUUCAAACAUCUAUCUUCUUUAUCAUCUUUAUCUCUCCUCCUUUACUUUGUAUGUAACUCUAGUUUGUAAUGCUUCUAAUUUUCGACACUUACAUGACCUAUUCGUGUAGCAAGUGCCGUAAAACCCAUCACUAAAACUAAACAGUUUCUGCCCUGUAUUCCUUGGACUAGCCCGUGUUGGUGGUAAAGUUAUUAACGGAAGAAUUCUUGAUUGUCAUAUACUUGGCUUGGAUUCCUUGCAAGACAAAAUAAGUUAUGUUCAAGGAAAAUAAUUGGUGUUUUGAUUCCUCUUAAAAAUUGGAUGCAUUUCUUCAAGUUUUGAGACUGAGAUAUUGUCAUUGAGUUGUCAUUGAGUCUAUAUUCCUUGGUCCAUAGGAGCAACUUAAGCAUCCAUGAGUUACAUUCUUGUCUGAUCUUCUUUCGCUUUUACGAGAGUACUGUAAACAGUUGUUGUAACGUCAGAGGAACCUUUAUAAUAAUUAUUAUUAUCAUUACUCUCUGUCUUCUGUUCUUGUUAUGCACGUAACCAUAACCUUUGAUGAUUUGUUCAUAAAAUGUCAUCGGGUCAAGCUGGUAGCUGACCUUCCCCUGUCCUCGUAUGUCUUGCGUUAUGUGGCAUGCGUAACAUUUCCCCCUUCCUGCAGUUUGUCCAUUGUGGAGGUAUAGAAUGAGGUACAUGUUUGUUUGACAAAUUUUGCUGUCUGCUCCAUUUGCAUGUUACAGUCUUAUUAUCAACCGCCCCCAGGCCUGAGAAUUUAAAAAGUUAUUUUCUGUGGAAGUUUCAUUCAUUGCAUGGUGGUAAUUUUCAUUUUGCUGUAUUUUCAAACUCAUUUUCAGAAUGUUCCCUUCUUCUCUUCUGACGCUCAGUUUGAUAGAGGUGUUUGUAGUCAAAUGUCUUCUCUGGACUGGUCUCUCUUUUUGGGUGUUGACCUUAAGUUACAGUUCAAAUAAUACUUCUUUCGGACAACGUUUGUGAGAAACAAAUCGUUAUUUUUGUCUAGUGCUUAGAAACUAGGAAGAUCGACUGGAAGCUUUCACAUUUUCCUAUCUCACCAGUCUGUUGAAUUUAGUAUCGUACAGAUUCACUACCAUUGUAUAUUAGACCUACAUGUACAUAAGUUUUGCGUGUUUCUGUUCUCUGAGAAAACUUGCUACUCUGGACUUUCUUUCAUCAUUUUGACUUGCUAUCUUUCCCGAGGCUUUGCUCUUUUUGGAUGUAAACAUUCAGCCAAUAUCCCACACUCCUAUUGUAUUGUGUGAUCUGUUGUCCUUGAGUAAUUUAUGAUUAGUUUUAUUUCAGAAUACAAUAAGAAAUUAAUUCUCUUCAUUAUCAUACAUGUUGUGAUAUCACUUUUCUAGUUCAAGUCACCCCGUAGAUUCAGUAUCUUGAAGCUUCCCAUUUAUCCAUUUAUUUCUGUCGUAUAACGGCUAACUCUGCAUUUUACUUUGAUGUUAAUUUUUUUUUUUUUUUCAUUUUCAAUGUUGAGUCAAUUCUGUUUUUUAGCAACAUGCUGGUCUCAAUAAGUGUCUGUAUGACUUACAAUAACCCAUUCAUCUUUAGAUGAUUUAUUUAUUUAUUUACCGUUAUUUGCCAUUUUUAUAGCUUGGUCCAGGGAGCAAUUGAACUAUCUACAUGUACGCCUAAUCAUCAGAUGCUCUAUCCUUUUUUUUCAUACUGGCUUGUAGUCUUCUGUACAGUUAACAGACUCUUUGUGUUAUGCUGUGAUCGUAUGAAAUUUUUUUUUUUGGUUGUUUUUUUCACUUCCCUAAGCUGUCCUACGAACAGGACUGCUUAUCUUUCGUCUGUAACUUUUAUUUGAAAUUUUGCUUGUUAAGCUUGAGAUUGUUUGCCAUUGAUAAAUAUUUUAGGAAUGAUAAUAUGUCUCCUGUUACACUUACACCUGAACAAAUAGAAAGUCUAAAGGUGAAAUCUUACUUACCCCUGUUUUGAUGUAGGCUACCUGAAGCUUUUCUCAUCAUUGUGUGUGAUAAGAUAAGAUUAAGAUUUACAUCAGUCUCCUCAUAAUGUUCCUUCAAGAGCCCUCCCAGUAUGACUAUGUGCUUACAUGAACCAGCUAUGUUGAAAGUUAUUUAUAUUUAGCAUAGUUUGGUAUGACU